rnacentral:rRNA from 1 species
GCAGCAGCCGCGGUAAUACGUAGGGUGCAAACAUUAUCCGGAUUUAUUGGGCGUAAAGAGCUCGUAGGUGGCUUGAAAAGUUGAGUAUGAAAGACCCGGGCCCAACCCGGGGAACGUACUCAAAACUCUCAAGCUAGAGGUAUGCAGGGGAAGAUGGAACACACGGUGUAGCAGUGAAAUGCGUAGAUAUCGUGUGGAACGCCGAUGGUGAAGACAGUCUUCUGGGCAUAUCCUGACACUGAGGAGCGAAAGCGUGGGGAGCGAACGGGAUUAGAUACCCCGGUAGUCCACGCCGUAAACGAUGCAUGCUAGGAAUUUGGAGAAUCGACCCUCUGAGUUUCGAAGCUAACGCGUUAAGCAUGCCGCCUGGGUAGUACGGCCGCAAGGUUAAAACUCAAAGGAAUUGACGGGGGCCCGCACAAGG